UACGGAGGGUGCAAGCGUUUGUUCGGAAUUACUGGGCGUAAAGCGCGUGUAGGCGGCUUGGCAAGUCGAAUGUGAAAGCCCCGGGCUUAACCCGGGAACUGCAUCCGAAACUGCCUCGCUAGAGUCUCGGAGAGGAAGGCAGAAUUCCCAGUGUAGGGGUGAAAUCCGUAGAUACUGGGAGGAAUACCGGCAGCGAAGGCGGCCUUCUGGACGAUGACUGACGCUGAGACGCGAAAGCGUGGGGAGCAAACAGG
rnacentral:rRNA from 1 species